UACAGAGGAGCCAAGCGUUGUCCGGAUUGACUGGGCGUAAAGCGCACGCAGGCGGUUGCGCGCGUGGGGUGUGAAAUCUGGCCGCUUAACGGCCAGGCGCCAUCCCAUACGGCGCGACUGGAGUGAUGCAGAGGUCGAUGGAAUUGCCGGUGUAGUGGUGAAAUGCGUAGAGAUCGGCAGGAACACCCAGGGGGAAACCAGUCGACUGGGCAUCUACUGACGCUGAGGUGCGAGAGCGUGGGGAGCGAACCGGAUUGAGAAACCC
rnacentral:rRNA from 1 species